ensembl:lncRNA
CCUUACUAUUAACAGCUUGGGAAAUAUAAAAGACAUGCUACAUGAAUAUUAUGCUAAAUGCCUGCAGGUUAAUCGUUAAUAUUACAACAAUAUGAUUUAAGUACAUACAGUAGGUAUACAAUCUGUACAAAUGUUAACAGGUUCACAGUUAAGAGUGUUACAAAAAGCAGGGAGGACUGAAGGUGGGCGGGUGCCCCUAAAUGCUUAAUGUACAAUAUGCAGCAAUAGCAAAAGUCUUUAGUUCACCGUUUUCUUUUUAAAUCACUUAUUUUACAUAAAGCAAAUAUCACUAAUGUGACAGGCCCUCUGGAGUCAAAGCAAAGUGGUGACCUAGAUAAUGGUCCAGACUUCCUGAUCCUUGACUUGUUUGGCAAUAAAGCUGAGUGAAAGGGGAGCCUUCAGAGCUACUAGCAUCACCCACUAAAUUAAACUGAUUGGAUAACAGAAUUCACAUCUGAAGAGGUUCCUUUUUUUUUCUUUUUAAUUAAUUGUUCAGGAGUUGUAACCAAUAGGAAAGCGAUUACUUUGGUGGUGAAACUGCAUCACAGGGAUGACGCAGAUAUUCAGAAAUCAUCUGCCAAUAAAUCUCCAAAAUAGGCCCCGACUUUUGACUCGGUUUUGAGUUUUGAUGCCCGAAUGAAAGUAGCUGAGUAGAGGCUUUGGGAAUCUAAUUGGAUGCAACUGAUUUCCUAUCCUGUGAGCAAUGGAAACCACGACUCCCUGAUUUAUCCUAACUUAAUUUGGCUUUUAAAUUAAGAGUAAAAUGAGCUAUUGUUUUUAAUUUAUGGUACCACGCUUUAUUGAUCAACCUCUCGGUCUACAUCCUCCCUGGUGCCAGUUUGUUGACCCUGAGCGACCAUGCAUGGUGAACAAGUGCAGGUCAAGUCAAAACUAAACGAUGAUGAUCUCAUACUUUACCAGCCUUUAGUUAAUAUAUAGCUGAAGUUAAAAAGAAAAUGACACCAAUGAGUGAAGAUUAAUGAGCUGCAGUGCUUUUUGUAGGCAGCAGAGGGCGUUAACAUCUCAUUACCAAAUGUAAAUAUAGUGCAGCAGAGAAAGUGUUAAACUGCUUCACAUCAAUUAGACAUAUUUCACAGAGUAAGUCAGAAAACAGGGUCACUAAACACUGCAGACAAGUGUAAGUGUUCCAUAAAUGCACAUCUACCCAGAGUCAAAAAGUGACAUCAAUAUUCUUUGCACUGUUUACCGCAUGCCUGUCACAGUAUCAGAGGAGGUGGUUUUAAUAGUAUUUUAUUGUAUUAUUACAUGAAACAAUGAGUAACAAUGUGUUUUUACAGUAAACCAGGCAGUGAUUGUGUUCUUAUCUACUUUGAGCUGCAUUUUGAUCGGGGUGUCGAGUGGUGAAGGACAAACUGUGACAAGAGAAUGUGGCAAAAGUCAAACAUGUGAUGCAUUUCUGCAAAGUAUCAUCAUACUCUCUGCCCCUACUUCUUGUUUUCUCUGCCAGAGGAAUAACACUUGUACCAUGGCUUGCUACAAAUCCUAACAAUCUUUGAAAAUGACAGUUAAAGCUGUGAUACACUAAGCACUUUUAUGUAACACUUUCACAUUUGUUUUGGUAAAUUCUGAUCAUCCAGAUACAUUUAGUAAGAAAUACUGUAGACGUGGGCAUCUAACUUUAAAGUCUGCUUUCUUAUGUUGCUCAAAAAUACCUGUUAUAUCACAGCUUAAUAUUAGAAAUUAAAAAACAGGCAACAAAGUCCAUACAAUAACAAAACAGAGCAAAAUAAAGAAAAAAAUAAAGACCUAGGAGUGAAUGAAAGAAUAAUCAAGAUAUAAAUACAAUUUACAGGAUAAUAAUCCAUCUCGUCACUUUCUAAGACCAUCUUACUCUUCCUUUUUUUCACAUACACGCACGCACAUAUGCACAGAAACACACUCAGCCGGGUUGCUGACUCUUGCCGUGUGCAACAAGGGCAAUGGAAAGUCACUGGGACACUGGACAUACACUGCACUGAUGGGAUGCUUCUGAGGCACAAGACAUGCAUGAGUGUGUGUUUGUGAAAGUGUGAGUGAGUGGGUGGGGUGAGGGUGCAACAGUGGGUCGUCACGUUGCGGUGACAGGGCUGCAGGACGGGGUUGGAAUACAGGUGGGAGGGCAGCUGGAGAGAAUGGCGGUGCUGUUGCUCUUCUCUCUGGGCGGGAUGGCCGAGGUCGUUCUCAGCAUGUUACCCCAGAGCAGCUUCUUUUUGUCUCUUACUGUCUCUCUUUUUCUCUCCCUCAUCACUCAUGUCCUGGUCCAGACAGUGUGUCUCCCAGGCAUCAGUCGCCUCCUCUCUGCUGCAGUGGAGAAGCACAUAAAACAUAUAUUAGGAAGAAGAAAUGACUGGAUCUUGUCUUCUGUUAUCAGGGAACUAU